UUACCUUCAGCGGCAGCAGGUUCCUCCUCUCUGUGCUCUGCCAAAAGUGAGGUCAUUCUUUCAGCUUAGUCUCUACUUAUUUGGAUUGUAAAUGUGUGUUUAUUUUUAAUAUUUCAUAGAUUCCUGAAUAAUUGUUGAUUUACAAAUUCAAGAAUCCAUCAGAGCUCUCUUUCCAGACAGGGACUGCUUCACUCUUGUGAGACCAUUGAGCGAUGAAAAAGAGCUCCAGCGGCUUGACCGGAUAUCAAUGGAUAAAUUGAGGCCAGAGUUCAAGUCAGGACUGGAUGCGUUAACAAGGUUUGUCUUUGAGAGGACUAGACCCAAACAGGUAGGGGCCACAGUGAUGACUGGACCUAUUUUUGCUGGCAUUACCCAGUCCUUUUUGGAUGCUCUCAAUAAUGAUGCAGUGCCAACAAUAACUUCUUCAUGGCAGAGUGUUGAAGAAACAAAGUGCAAAAGGGCAGUAGAAUAUGCUACUGAAGUUUACAAGUCUUCUUUCGACAGUUCUAAGCCUGUUCUAAGCCCCCUGAAGAAGCGGCAAUACGAGAAGCACAUGAAGAAGCUGUUCAGAAGGCUUUGGCUGCCUUUAAUUCAAUUGCUGUUGGAGCUGGUUCUGUUAGGCAGAGAUGUGAAUAGCGUCUUCAUACUUUCUUGAAAAAAGAAUCUGAGACGAUUGCAAAAAGAUUGACUCUGCUGUUCUAAUUGAUGACAUAAAGGCUACUCGAUCGGUGGUAAUAAAAUGGUUGGUGGAAACAACAUAAGGAAGCCGACCUCUGUGCGGACUUCUUCAUCAGAAGUAAAAUUGGGAAGCUUACACUUGCAAGAUUAUUGAUGGCAUAUGAUGCCAUGAUGUCAAGCGAUAUUUCAAUUUCUCCAAUGACUCAUGUGGAUGAAGUUUUGCAACUAUAUUCUGAAUUGAUGAAGUUAGACCCCACACAUUACCAAUGCUACAAGGAUGAGUACAGCCUGGUUUUCUUAAAACAGGUGACUUCUUGCAAGGAGUCUUUGAUGAAGUACUGCUGACAGUAUAAAGAGUCGAAUUCUUCAGAUAUCACUGAUUCUAUGUGUUUAAGACUGAAUUCUCUAUCAUUAUUGCAAAUUGGAUCCUAUGAGCGGUGUAAGGACCUUCAAAAAUGUCUUUAGUAUACGCGUAUACGAAAACCCAGACCCUAAAACCCUAACCUACAUGAAAAAUCAAGAAAAUUUAGAUUUUUUGGGUUUUAGGCGGGCCGCGUAAGAGAUAACUUAAUCUCAACGCGGGCCGCUUCAACUUAAUAAAAAGACCGGAUGAGUUAGGAGUCCGGGCGGGCCGCGUACAAGAUGAAGGUAAGUUAGCGCGGGCCGCGACAACUCAUAAUUAUCCGGUAACACAUACGGGCCACGUUAUGGGCCACCUGUUAACCCUAGCCCAUGACUAAUCAGGCCUAUGCCUAGAUUAGGCGGCAAUGCGGGCCGCGUAAGGCCUAUGCGUGAUCCCACGCGGGCCGCGUCAGACCCAUUUUCAGGCUAUAAAUAGCCUAGCUCAGGAGCUUUCGUUUCGUGUCGUUCAAAAUUCGUUUCCAAACGAAGCUUUACUGUAAAAAGUGUAAUUUCAAUAUAGUAGCGAGGUGCUGCCGCAAUACCGGGUAAUAACUCGAUCGCUAUUACGAUUCGAUAUCCGAUCGAUUGAAAUUAUCCAACGAGUGUCUAAGUGCUGCUCAAUCUGGGUUUAUGCUUUGUUAUUCGUCGUGAUUCCAACAGGAUAUUUGAGCUAUGCUCUGU